rnacentral:misc_RNA from 1 species
AAAGUGCGAUAAGCACUGUGAAUUGCAGAAUUCAGCGAAUCAGUAGAUCUCUCAACGCAACUGGUGUCAGGUAGACUUGUCUACUUGACAGAUAUGCUUCAGUAUUGCACUAAUGCACCAAACAUGCAAUUUUGUCGUGCUGCUUGCAGCAUGACGUGAGAUUCGCUACAUAGCAAUGGCGAAUGGGUAUAGCUCGGCGCUUUUAACUUGUUACGAUCGUCAGAGCAUCAUCACAACAAUCUGAAGUAAGUCAGAAUACCCGCUGAACUUAA